GUUGUGGUUCUGCUGGUGAGAAAACAUAAUCACAGAAAACCUGAAGCAGAUCAAGACAAAGCUGCAGGAGAAGAUGUCACAUACAGUGAAGUCAAAAUAUCACAUCGCCGACAGCAGCCUGUGAAACACAGCAGAGAGACUGAUCCAGCUGCAGUUUACUCAGCAGUGAGAACUGAAGACGUCACUUAUGGAAAAAUCAUCAAAGACAAGAACAAACGAUCACAGAUA